rnacentral:rRNA from 1 species
UACAGAGGAUGCAAGCGUUAUCCGGAAUGAUUGGGCGUAAAGCGGCUGUAGGUGGCUUUUUAAGUCCGCCGUCAAAUCCCAGGGCUCAACUCUGGACAGGCGGUGGAAACUACCAAGCUGGAGUACGGUAGGGGCAGAGGGAAUUUCCGGUGGAGCGGUGAAAUGCGCAGAUAUCGGGAAGAACACCCGUGGCUAAGGCGGCUCUCUAGUACGGUACUGACGCUGAGACGCGAAAGCCAGGGGAGCGAACGGG